rnacentral:rRNA from 1 species
UACGGAGGGGACUAGCGUUGUUCGGAAUUACUGGGCGUAAAGCGCACGUAGGCGGAUUUGUAAGUCAGGGGUGAAAUCCCGGGGCUCAACCUCGGAACUGCCUUUGAUACUGCAAAUCUCGAGUCCGGAAGAGGUGAGUGGAAUUCCUAGUGUAGAGGUGAAAUUCGAAGAUAUUAGGAAGAACACCAGUGGCGAAGGCGGCUCACUGGUCCGGUACUGACGCUGAGGUGCGAAAGCGUGGGGAGCAAACAGG